AGUGGCGAACGGGUGAGUAACACGUGAGUAACCUGCCCUUAACUCUGGGAUAAGCCUGGGAAACUGGGUCUAAUACCGGAUAGGAGCGUCCACCGCAUGGUGGGUGUUGGAAAGAUUUAUCGGUUUUGGAUGGACUCGCGGCCUAUCAGCUUGUUGGUGAGGUAAUGGCUCACCAAGGCGACGACGGGUAGCCGGCCUGAGAGGGUGACCGGCCACACUGGGACUGAGACACGGCCCAGACUCCUACGGGAGGCAGCAGUGGGGAAUAUUGCACAAUGGGCGCAAGCCUGAUGCAGCGACGCCGCGUGAGGGAUGACGGCCUUCGGGUUGUAAACCUCUUUCAGUAGGGAAGAAGCGAAAGUGACGGUACCUGCAGAAGAAGCACCGGCUAACUACGUGCCAGCAGCCGCGGUAAUACGUAGGGUGCGAGCGUUAUCCGGAAUUAUUGGGCGUAAAGAGCUCGUAGGCGGUUUGUCGCGUCUGUCGUGAAAGUCCGGGGCUUAACCCCGGAUCUGCGGUGGGUACGGGCAGACUAGAGUGCAGUAGGGGAGACUGGAAUUCCUGGUGUAGCGGUGGAAUGCGCAGAUAUCAGGAGGAACACCGAUGGCGAAGGCAGGUCUCUGGGCUGUAACUGACGCUGAGGAGCGAAAGCAUGGGGAGCGAACAGGAUUAGAUACCCUGGUAGUCCAUGCCGUAAACG
rnacentral:rRNA from 1 species